UUUUUGAAGAACGAAGCAGAUUCAAAGCAGAGCUAGGGUUUAGUUUAUGAUUGAUGACCCCGAAUUAGGGUUCUCUUUGUCUUCUAAUUGAUGAAUGAAUUAGCAAGCAGGAUAUUGUUUCCACCGGCGUCUCUUCUUCUUCUUCAAUUUUCUCUCAUCUGAUUUGAUCGACCAACUAAAGGAAGAUAUUGGUGCCAAGUGAUGAUCGGAGGAGCCGGAUGAUGGUGUUUCUUCUUCUGAUUUGACCGACCGCCAAUUACAGGUCAUAGAGAUUGAUUGAAGAAUGAAGAAGAAGAAUACUCAAGUCUGCUUUAUCUCAGAGAGAUGGAUUGAAGAGUGAAGUAGAAGAAGACUUAAGCAGACUGCUUGAGUGAUCCUAAUGGAAGUUAUAAGAAGUCACGUUGAAUUCUGAG